UGUAGUGUGAGGAGCGAACAGACAAGAGACCCGAGACGAAACACGGAAAGUCGUCGGUUCUCUUUCUGA
rnacentral:sRNA from 1 species